rnacentral:rRNA from 1 species
AAGUCGUAACAAGGUUUCCGUAGGUGAACCUGCGGAAGGAUCAUUAUCGAAAUUAUAGGUGAGGGUUGUCGCUGGCCUCACGGGGCAACGUGCACGCCCGAGCCAUUAAUCCACACACACCUGUGAACCUAUUGUGAGGGCCCGUGAAAAAGGCCCCCAUGUCUUUAUAUCAUAUAACCCUGUCUUACAGAAUGUAAAAUCUACGUCUUCGGACAAAGAAACUCUAUACAACUUUCAACAACGGAUCUCUUGGCUCUCGCAUCGAUGAAGAACGCAGCGAAAUGCGAUAAGUAAUGUGGAUUGCAGAUUUCCAGUGAAUCAUCGAAUCUUUGAACGCACCUUGCGCCCCUUGAUAUUCCGAGGGGCAUGCCUGUUUGAGUGUCAUUAAACCAUCAACCUCGGGGUUUUCGAGCCUUGGGGAUUGGAGUUGGAGUGUGCUGGUGGAAACCCCCAUCGGCUCCUCUCAAAUGCAUAAGCGGGAAACCCUUUACUUCCGAAAGUCGGUGUGAUAAGGAUUUGUUACGCCGUCGCAUAGGGACUUUGAAGGCCGCUCACAAUGGUCUUCGGACGACGUCUAUCAAACUUGACCUCAAAUCAGGUAGGACUACCCGCUGAACUUAAGCAUAUCAAUAAGCGGAGGAAAAGAAACUAACAAGGAUUCCCCUAGUAACUGCGAGUGAAGCGGGAAAAGCUCAAAUUUAAAAUCUGGCGGUCUGGCGGCCGUCCGAGUUGUAAUCUGGAGAAGCGUCUUCCGCGUCGGACCGUGUACAAGUCUCCUGGAAGGGAGCGUCGUAGAGGGUGACAAUCCCGUCUCUGACACGGACCGCCGAUGCUUUUGUGAUGCGCUCUCGAAGAGUCGAGUUGUUUGGGAAUGCAGCUCAAAGUGGGUGGUAAAUUCCAUCUAAAGCUAAAUAUUGGCGAGAGACCGAUAGCGAACAAGUACCGUGAGGGAAAGAUGAAAAGCACUUUGGAAAGAGAGUUAAACAGUACGUGAAAUUGUUGGAAGGGAAACGUUUGAAGUCAGUCGCGUCGGCCGAGACUCAACCCGGCUCUUCUGCCCGGCGCACUUCUCGGUUGACGGGUCAGCAUCAAUUUCGACCGUCGGACAAAGGUCGAGGGGAUGUGGCAUCCUUCGGGAUGUGUUAUAACCCUCGGUUCGAAUACGGCGGUGGGGAUUGAGGAACUCGGCGCUUCGGCGUUCUAGGAUGCUGGCAUAAUGGCUUUAAGCGACC